rnacentral:rRNA from 1 species
GACAGAGGGUGCAAACGUUGUUCGGAAUUACUGGGCGUAAAGCGUGCGUAGGCGGUCUCUUAAGUCCGUUGUGAAAGCCCUGGGCUCAACCUGGGAACUGCAGUGGAUACUGAGAAGCUAGAGUGUGUCAGAGGAUGGUGGAAUUCCCGGUGUAGCGGUGAAAUGCGUAGAGAUCGGGAGGAACAUCAGUGGCGAAGGCGCUCUGCUGGACCAUAACUGACACUCAGGGACGAAAGCUAGGGGAGCGAAUGGG